UUUCUCAUGUUAUUGCAUUAACAACAUUCUCAUGUUAUUGCACAGAACAUAGGCUGUGUAAGAUUGAUCCGUUUUUUUUAAUAAUUUUAUUUAUUUCUUUAAUUUUCCCCCCAAAGCCCCAGUAGAUAGUUGUAUGUCAUAGCUGCACAUCCUUCUAGUUGCUGUAUGUGGGACGCCGCCUCAGCAUGGCCGGAGAAGCGGUGCGUCAGUGCGCGACCGGGAUCCGAACCCGGCCACCAGCAGUGGAGCGUGCGCACUUAACCGCUAAGCCACGGGACUGGCCCAGAUUGAUUCUUUAAAAUGUAGUAUUAAGGCUUCCUUUGUAACUCAGUACAUAGUCACUUUUUGUAAAUGUUUCCCAUGUGCCAGGAACAGUAUAUUAUCUGUUAGAUGUAGAAUUCUCCAUAUAUAAUAUAUUGAGCUUGUUAAUUGUGUUAUUUGGAUCUUCUAUAUCUCUGCUUGUUGUUUGUCUGCUUGAUCCAUCUGUUUCUAAGAGAGCUCUGUAAAUACUUUCAGGUCCAAAGGUUGAUUUAUUUUUUUCUUUCCUAAAUUUAUCGAUUGUUGUUUUAUAACUGUAAAAUUGGAGAAUAACAGUAUUUUCUCAUAGGAUUGUAAGGAAGAGUAUGAGUUGUAAAGCCUGUAGGGCAUGCCUGGCACAUAGAAGAUCGAGUUUCCAGGGAAGCCAAUUCUAGAGCAGAGAUUGGAGUGCAACCCGUUUAGUACUGAGUGCUCUUGAGAGCAACACUUGUUGGAAAGGAAGAAAGCAGGAUUGGACGGAGGAGAAGUUGGACUGCUGGGCAGUCACAAUGCCUCCUCAGCUAAUUCUGAAGAGAACUCAGAAAAGGGAUGGAAAAGAACGUAUUUGUCAGAUCAAUGGUUGCAUACCGCGUACUUGACACCCUGUUAAUUUGCUCUUAGCAAUGAUACCACACAUGGUAAAGCAGCUCCAAUUAAGGCUACUAUUGGUUGAGUUUGCAGUAGUUCAUUGUCAUCCUUCAGAAUCUGUCUGGCUUUUGCAGGGACCAGAGUGGUGAAUUAAAUGAAGAUACGAUGGGGACUACUACCUUUGCCUCCUUCAGAUCUUUGUUGUUCAGUAUGGCAGCCACUAGCCAUAAGUAUCCAUUUCAAGAAGUUAGAAUAAGAGCACAGGGGCCAGCCCGGUGGCGUAGCAGUUAAGUGAGCUCGCUCCGCUGCGGCGGCCGGGGGUUCGGAUUCCCUGCGCGCACCGACGCUCAGCUUGUCAGGCCAUGCUGUGGUGGCGUCCCAUAUGAAGUGGAGGAAGACCAGCAGCGAU